CCCGGCUGGACCGAGCAAAAGAGAGAAAAAGUGCCACAAGACAAAAAUAUCAGACUUCAGGAGGUGAUGAAGAAAUGCUUCAUACUGCAAGAAACAAAACAAAAAACUGCUUCUGUUGCAAUGCACACCUCCUAGGAUCGAAGGACUGAUGGUAAAGGUAGACUACCCUCUCGGCAAGAGAUCCUUACAAGUCACCCAGACCUUCAUCUUCCAUACCUCCGUCUCUGAAGUAAAUACUUCCCUUCCGACUCAUUGAAGAGAAAGUAUUCCUCCAGUACAGGAGGUGUUCCCCCUCAUUCUGGAUCAGUGCUUCCUCCAGACCAUUCACUGCAUCCAGAAACUAAAGUCAACCACCGAAGCUGUGAACGCAGAGGUUUAAGUUAGCCAUCAGUAUUUGAGGGAUACUGUGUGUGUGAACAUUUCUCUGGGCCCUGAAAAUGAACGGAAGGUAUGUGUGCCCCUCUAUGAGUCUAUUCAUUCCCACUGUAACAACUUUCUCAUUUACAUGCAAU